GUCUUGUAUGAAGAGAGAUUAGCAUUCUUUUUGUCAAGAGUUCGGAGGCCUGGACAACACACAUAUAGUUAAGGCGUUGCUACCUAUUUGGUAACAUCUGAACAUGGUUUUGA
rnacentral:ncRNA from 1 species